ACAUAUGUGCUAACACGACUACA
rnacentral:siRNA from 1 species